rnacentral:rRNA from 1 species
GACGAACGCUGGCGGCGUGCCUAACACAUGCAAGUCGAACGGACUGCGAGGAGCUUGCUCCUCAAAGUUAGUGGCGGACGGGUGAGUAACGCGUGAGUAACCUGCCUUACAGAGGGGGAUAACGUUUGGAAACGAACGCUAAUACCGCAUAAUGUAUUUAGGGGGCAUCCCUUGAAUACCAAAGCUUUAUGUGCUGAAAGAUGGCCUCGCGUCUGAUUAGGUAGUUGGUGGGGUAACGGCCUACCAAGCCGACGAUCGGUAGCCGGACUGAGAGGUUGAACGGCCACAUUGGGACUGAGACACGGCCCAGACUCCUACGGGAGGCAGCAGUGGGAAUAUUGCACAAUGGGGGAAACCCUGAUGCAGCAACGCCGCGUGAGGGAAGACGGUUUUCGGAUUGUAAACCUCUGUCCUCUGUGAAGAAGAAAGUGACGGUAGCAGAGGAGGAAGCCACGGCUAACUACGUG